CCUCAUCGGGGCUCGAACUCGGAGUCCAGUUCUUUUGGACCGUCCUCGCGGAACGGGCGGGCCUGCUUUCGGCGCCGGGCUCCAGCUCACAGCUCCGCCCCCACAGGGCCCGAGGGGCGGAGCUCCUCGCUGGUAGGAGCAUGCGUGUUCCGGCACACCACGCAGGCGCCUAGAACAGCUUUAUGAGAGAAGCUGUGGAAGCGUCAUUGGUGGGGCCGCGUGGCCUAAUGGAUAAGGCGUCUGAUUCCGGAUCAGAAGAUUGAGGGUUCGAGUCCCUUCGUGGUCGCUGCAGUGUUCGUUUUGCUCCCUCGCCUUUAAAUUUUCCCUCUGUCGGGACCGCGCCCUCCGCGGAGUCUUAGGAGGCUCGGGCGGUGUCCCCGUCGCACCGCCCGCCCUGCCGCGCCCGGGAAGCCGCUCAGCUCCUGCCAGGCGCGGAGCCCGGGAGCUAGGGCCUGCUCUGCGCCCCUGGCGACCCCGAGGGCGCUGCGGGGCCCAACGCAGGCCAGAACCCGAAGCCAUCGCAGCGAGUCCGACAACCUCAGACGAGAUGGGAAAGAACACCCCUCCGCUGGUGGGAAAGCUAACGCUGGGAUCUCUGACCGUGAGAAUCUCAUACUCCACCGACACAGCUAGCCCGAGGAGAGCCAUUGCGGAGGGCGCUUGGGACAGAGACCUCAGGCCCCUGGGCUCUAUUGAAAGCCGCGGAGACCUGAACCCAGGUAACACCUCCUGUCUACAGGGCAGUGUAGGGAGGAGGACAAGGACAGGGAUGACACUUUUCCCAGUCGCCGGGUUGGUACCCCUCCUCUCUCCUCUCCCACAUUUUGCGUAGCUAAUUCCUUCUUGCUAGUAGUUAUCACCGGAUCCUGAUUCUCCUGCAACGAGAAAGAAAGGGCUCGCCCAGGAUUUGAUCCCCAGGCUUCUCGCACCCUAAGCGAGGAUCACACCCGAGUCAAACGAGCUGAGCGACACCUGUGGCCCCAGAUCUUUGGGCUCCAUCUGCGCAUGCGCGGUCUCUCCGGGGGUCGGAGGAUGCUCUAGGAGCCGGCCAGGUCGGAGGGCAGGCCAAAUGCGGGUGUUGAGGGACCGGAGGGAGUCUGGGAUGGAGCCAGGAAUCCGUGUGUAACCGGCGGGAACGAUGGGGAGGUGACGGAGAGACUGGUUUAGGACCAUUGCAAGACAUCUGUUGUCUGCCCCGGUGGCCUAAUGGAUAAGGCAUUGGCCUCCUAAGCCAGGGAUUGUGGGUUCGAGUCCCACCCGGGGUAUGUGGGGUUAAGUUUUAGACUUCCUCUAAGGAAGAAGUGCAAUCCGUCCUCCCCAGUGGAGGAAGCCAAGUUAAGGGUUCUGGAAGGCUAUCCAGACGCCGUCCUAUGCUAUUAAAUUGGUUGUGCCUUUUUUUUCUAAUAAGGGGUGCACGUUUCCAGCUUUCAGAAAGGAAUACUUUCUUCAUUCCCAUUUUUAAGAUAACCACCCAUUCUACUUGAUAUAAAGGAAUAAUUCUCCAUUUUUCCAGUAUAUUAAUUUUAUUGUGGUUCCAUAUAUUUUUAAAAGUUCUUAAAAGUUCUUUUAUAAACAGACCCAAUUAUUUAAAGAUUAAAUUAUAUGACAACUGUCGUGCUUUAAAACAACGGGCUGAGUGCUGACAAUGGUUAUUAAUACGGUAUUGUAUACUUGCAAGUUGCUUUGAGAGGAGAACUGAAAUGUUCUCACCACACAGGAAAGGUAACUAUGCGAAGGCUGGAUGUGUUAACCUGACUGUGGCAAAUAUUUCACAAAUGUAUAUGUGUAUCAAAUCAACACAUUGUGCACCUUCAAUAUAUAUCAUUUUAUUUGUCAGUUAUCUCUCAACAAAGCUAGGGAAAAUAUAAUGGGUUGGUUGGUGGUGUAGAUAAAACAAGGUUAUCUCUCAGUUGAUAAUGGCUUAAGCUGGGGGACAUGAGGACACAUCUGCUUUAGUGCAUGUUUGAAAUAGUCCAUAAUAAAGUUUUCUCUCUUUUUUUAAUCCAUGCAAUCCCUGUCUUCAUCCUGCAGGUAAAAAUCUCCCAGACUGCCGGGCACGGUGUAGAGAACAAUCAGAAACCUUCUAUACCACAAUGCCCAAAGCAGGGAAGACCACUGGAGCUUUGUCAUAUACACAUAUAAAAAUACAGUUCUC
ensembl:lncRNA